rnacentral:lncRNA from 1 species
GUGAUGGUGGUAGUGGUAGUGAUAGUAGAAGUGGUGAUGGAGAUAAUAAUGGUGGUAUUAGUAGUUGUAGUAGCAGUGAAGGUGAUGGUGGUAGUGGUUUUAUUAUUAUUAUCAGAAGUACUAGUAGUGGUGAUAAUAGUAGUAAUACGUAGUAGUAGUGAUAUGGAUAGUAGUAGUAGUGAUAUGGAUAGUAGUAGUAGUAGUAGUAGUAGUAGUAGUAGUAGUAGUAGUGAUAUGGAUAGUAGUAGUAGUAGGGAUAUGGAUAGUAGUAGUAGUAGUAGAAGUAGUAGUAGUAGUAGUAGUAGUAGUAGUUAUAUGGAUAGUAGUAGUAGUAUUAGUAGUAGUAGUAGCAGAAGGGAUAUGGAUAGUAGUAGUAGUGAUAUGGAUAGUAGUAGUAGUGAUAUGGAUAGUAGUAGUAGUAGUAGUAGUAGUAGUAGUAGUAGUAGUAGUGAUAUGGAUAGUAGUAGUGGUAGUAGUAGUAGUGAUAUGGAUAGUAGUAGUAGUAGUAGUAGUAGUAGUAGUAGUGAUAUGGAUAGUAGUAGUAGUAGUAGUAGUAGUAGUAGUGAUAUGGAUAGUAGUAGUUGUAGUAGUAGUGAUGUGGAUAGUAGUAGUAGUAGUAGUAGUAGUAGUGAUAUGGAUAGUAGUAGUUGUAGUAGUAGUGAUGUGGAUAGUAGUAGUAGUAGUAGUAGUAGUAGUAGUGAUAUGGAUAGUAGUAGUAGUAGUAGUAGUAGUAGUAGUAGUAGUAGAAGUGAUAUGGAUAGUAGUAGUAGUAGUAGUAGUAGUAGUAGUGAUAUGGUUAGUAGUACUGGUAUUAGCAGUAACGGUGAUAGUAGAAGUAGUGUUGAAAGUAGUAGUAGUGGUAUUAUUAGUAUUCGUAGUUGUGGUGGUGAUAGUAGUAGUGGUAAAGUAGCAGUUGAAAUAGUAGUAGUGAUGGGGUAGUAGAAUUGGUAUUAGUAGUAGUAGUGGUAGUAGAUAUAGUAGUGGUAGUGGUAGUAGUAGUGAUGGUGUUAGUAGAAGUGAUAGAAAUAGUAUUACUGAUUGUGAAAUUAAUAGUAGUGGAAAUUGCAGUGGUGAUGGGGGUAGUAGUAGUAGUAGUAGUAGUAGUGAUGGUGAUAGUAGUAGUACUAGUAGUAGUGAUGGUGGUAGUAGCAGUAGUGAUGGUGAUAGUAGGAGUGAUAUUUGCAGUAGUGGUGAUGGGGAUAGUAGUAGUGGUGAUGGGGCUUUUGGUAGAAGUACUAGUAGUAGUGAUGGUGCUAGUAGUAGUGACAGUGAGAGUAGUAGUAGUAUAGAUAGUAGUAGUAGUGGUGAUAGUAGUAGUGUUAGUAGUAGUAGCGGUGAAAGUGAUAGUAGUAGUAGUGAUGAUGUGGAUAGUAGUACUGGUAUUAGUAGUAAUGUUGAUAGUAGUAGUAGUGACAGUGAUAAUAGUAGUAGUGGUGAUAGUAGUAGUGGUGAUGGGGAUAGUAGAAGUGGUAUUAGUAGUAGUGGUGGUAUUAGAGAAAGUAGUGCUAGUAGCAGUAGUUGUGGUGAAAGUGAUAGUAGUAGAAAUAGUUUUAGUGAUGGUGAAAGUAGUAGUAGUGGAAAUAGUAGUAGUGAUGGUGAUAGUAUUAGUGAAUGUAUUGGUGGUUAUAGUAGUAGUGGUGACAGUGAUCGUAGUACUGAUGGUGAUAAUAGAAGUGGUAAUGGUGAUUGUAGUAGUGGUAUUGGUAGUAAUUG